AGACUGGUUUUAAUUAAAACCACCUACAUUGUAUUGCACUAAAUUU
rfam:Alligator mississippiensis ScZkoYb_19, whole genome shotgun sequence.